AAAUUUACUAAAAUAAACCAGAAGGCCUAGAUCUUAAACUUUUAGCUAAGAAAUUUGUUCAAGCAAGCAACUCUACUCAGGUGAGCGAUAUAGGGCCUUCAUGGCCCUCUUGUUUUUAUAAAAAGGACCAUUCUGUAAGAUGUGAAAUACCAGGGACAAGAUACUUAAAGCAAUUAUGAAAAAGUCGUGUAGAAUCGUUUGAAACUUGUCUAUUACUAGCCUGGGUUCAUAUCAGGUUACUUGGAUUCCUGUCAGGUUGCCUGGUUUCCUGUCAGGUUGCCUAGAUUCCCGUCAUAUUACCUGGGUUCCUGUCUGGUUGCCUGGGUUCCUUGUGAGGCUGCCUGAAUUCCUGUCAGGUUACUUGGAUUCCUGUCUGGUUACCUGGAUUCCUGUCAGGUUACCCGGGUUCCUGUCAGGUUGCCUAAGUUCCUGUCAGGUUGCCUAACUUUCUAUAAGUCUGUCUGGGUUCCUGUAAGGUUGCUUGAGUUCCUGCCGGGCUGCUUGGGUUCAUGUCAGGUUGCCUAGGUUCCUGUAAGGUAUCCUGAGUUCCUUUCAGGUUGCCUGGUUUCUUGUACGGUUGUCUAGGUUCCUGUCAGGUUGCCUGGGUUCCUGUCAGGUUGCCUGGGUUCUUGUCAGGUUGCUUAGAUUCCUGUCAGGUUGUCUGGUUUAUUGUAUGAUUGUCUAAGGUCCUGUUAGGUUGUCUUAAGUUCCUGUCAGGUUGCUUAGAUUCCUGUCAGGUUGCCUGGUUUAUUGUAUGAUUGUCUAAGGUCCUGUUAGGUUGUCUUAAGUUCCUGUCAGGUUGCUUAGAAUCCUGUCAGGUUGCCUGGGUUCCUGUUAGGUUGUCUUAAGUUCCUGUCAGGUUGCCUGGGUUCCUGUCAGGUUGCCUUAGUUACUGUCAGGUUGCCUAGUUUCUUGUCAUGUUGUCUGGUUUCCUAUCAGGCUGCCUGGGUCCCUGUAAGGUUGUCUGGUUUCUUGUCAGGUUGCUAAGUUCCUGUAAAGUUGCUUGGGUUCCUGUCCAGUUGCCUAAGUUUCUGUCAAGUUGCCUUGUUUCUUGUCAGGUUGCCUUAGUUCCUGUCAGGUUGCCUGGGUUCCUGUCAGGUUGUCUGUAUUCCUGUAAGGUUGCCUAUGUUCCUUUAAGGUUGUCUGGUUUUCUGUUAGGUUGCCAGAGUUCUUGUCAGGUUAUCUAGUUUCCCUUGAGGUUGCCUGGUUUCCUGUCAGGUAGUCGGGAGGGUUUUGUCUACAUUUGCAAAAUUCAAUAGGAGAGGUUGUUGCCCAGAAUGUUUUGUCUAUACUAUCACUUGUAUAAACACUUCAUGUGUUAUAUACAAAGGAUUAGGUAUCAACAACUGUUUCCCAGGCAACCUUAACCAGCAACCUUUACAAAGCAUAAAUACAUGUUUCAAGUGUAACACUCCAAGAUUCAAACACCCAUUGGUAUUUCUGUUGUUAUGUUUUGAAUUUCUUCCCUAGUGUGAAGGAGUUUCGUAAUCAGAAAAUCUUUGGAACUAGUUAAAAUGUAAAACAGUUGUGCCUUUUAUAUAACAAAUUGAUGAUAAAUGAUGCAUUUAAUUUGAAAAACGUGAUUUUACACAGUAAAGGGUUUGUAAACUUGUAACAUGUAUGUGAUUCAGCAUUAUUUCAAUUAUUGUGAUGCAGUUUUGUAUAUUUUGUAUGUUUAUGUAACAGUUACUUUAUAAUAAAAUUAUAUAUUAUUGAA
rnacentral:lncRNA from 1 species